AAUCUGACUGACUGGCUAGCUAACCUUUCUCGCAAUUUUAAGGUUUCCCAAAGAGAAGCAGUUGAGGAGACAGUGGGAAGUGGCUGUGAAAAGGGAAGACUUUUCUGCCAAUGAGAGGUCAAUUCUCUGUAGCCAGCACUUUCAGCCGGAGGAUUUUGACCGGACAGGCCAAAUUGUCAGGCUCAGGGAUGGAACUAAACCAUCUGUGUUCAGUUUCCCAACACAUCUCAAAAGAAAAGUGGCAGCCAGGACUACACAAGCCUCAAGGAAGGCUGAAGCGAGCCUUGUAAUUGACUGUUCUUUACAAUCAUUACAAGUCACUGAACCUUCACCUACCUACCUUGAACACACUUUCCCACUCUUCUCAAGACUAGACUCAAUGAAGCCCUGGCUAGAGUGGAGAGUCUUGAGAAAGAGAUGAGGCACUCAAAGGCCCGAGAGUGGAGGGCGAAGAAAACAUGGCGUUGUCUUCUGGAGGACCUCAGGGGGAAGAACCUCAUAAAUGAAGAGCUGCAAGAGAGGCUUGACUUAUACUCAGGUAACAUUGAAAUUAAACUUGGGCUGUAACCAAAGAAAUACAACUGCAAUAAUGUGUUCAAAUGCUUGGCUUGUCUGAAUUUCAUAUAUCAAACUUAAACUCGAAAAAAGCUCAGCAAGACAAUACUUUUUAAAGGGUUCUAGCCUAGAUUCAAUUAUUUUAUUAUAUCAUAUAUUGUGUGAAAUUUUAUAUUGUGUCAAUUGCACUGCUUAGAUGUGAAAAUGUUAUGAGCAUGAUUGUAUAUUAUGUCAAA